rnacentral:tRNA from 1 species
ACCAGACUGGCUCAGUUGAUAGAGCAUGAGACUUGAUCUCAGAGUUGUGAGUUCAAGCCCCACAUUGGGUG